rnacentral:rRNA from 1 species
ACGUGAUCUGAGUUCAGACCGGAGUAAUCCAGGUCAGUUUCUAUCUAUAAGGAGCUUUUUCUAGUACGAAAGGAUCGAAAAAGCAUGGCCAAUGCUAAUGUAAGCCAUCUUUACUAAUUUAUGCUUAAAACUUAAUUUAUACUUAAUCCAAAAUUUUACUCAAGAAAAGAGAA